rnacentral:rRNA from 1 species
GAUGAACGCUGGCGGCGUGCCUAAUACAUGCAAGUCGAGCGAACAGAUGAGGAGCUUGCUCCUCUGACGUUAGCGGCGGACGGGUGAGUAACACGUGGAUAACCUACCUAUAAGACUGGGAUAACUUCGGGAAACCGGAGCUAAUACCGGAUAAUAUAUUGAACCGCAUGGUUCAAUAGUGAAAGACGGUUUUGCUGUCACUUAUAGAUGGAUCCGCGCCGCAUUAGCUAGUUGGUAAGGUAACGGCUUACCAAGGCAACGAUGCGUAGCCGACCUGAGAGGGUGGUCGGGCAAACUGGAAAUGGAACAAGGUCCAGAACCCUAAGGGAGGCAGGAGGAGGGAAACUUCCGCAAAGGGCGAAAGCCUGAAGGAGCAACGGCGCGUGAGUGAUGAAGGGCUUCGGAUCGUAAAAAUCUGUUAUUAGGGAAGAACAAAUGUGUAAGUAACUAUGCACGUCUUGACGGUACCUAAUCAGAAAGCCACGGCUAACUACGUG